UUGGACUUGUCAAAGUAGUUUUAAUGCAACAUACCUUUUACUUGAGUAUUUUUGUUAGGAAGUAAUGCUGCUUUUACUUCGUUACGUUAUAUUUGUAUCUGUUUAUUAUUGCUUGCGUGGUUUGUAAGAGAGUUGUGUCACGUGACGGUUCCACUACAAGCAACCACUCGUGACGUUGCCUACAUUUGACCAAUCAAACGGAGCCCGGGAGUCACAUGACCUAUCGUAGCUCCACCUCGGCCCCGCCCACACGAAAGCGAAGUUUUCAAAAGUGGUUUAUCUUUUUAUUAAAGUGAUAUUGUUGGGAGGUAUCUGACUCUUAUCUCUAUUUUACAUUUUUGUCUGUUUGACAUUAAUGCGCUGAUUUAAAACAAAAAUCCCGUAAAAUACUUUUACUCGAGUAAUUACUUGGAGGCCUACUUUUUCAUUUUACUCGGGUCAUUACUGUAAUGUAAAACCAUUUAUUUCCUGAAAAAAAAAACUGUAAAAAAAUAAAUAAAUUCUGGAAUAACCAAACUACGUUUCUGGCUGGGCCUCAAUUUGACACCGUUGUCUCCUCUGAAGAAAUGACGUUUAUAUGUGCACCUAAUGGUCUUUUGUUUCUUUUUUGGGGAAACAAACUUGGCCACCUACCACAACUUUUGGCCUAAUUGCAGUUGACUUGACUUCGUGUGGACUUUUCUUUAUUCUCUUAAACAGUGUUUUCACAUCAGACAGCCUACCACUCCCUUUGGACACCAACAAGGCCUUUGACACUUUCUUCUCCUGCCCCUCCCUUGCAUAUUCACACCACCGGUGAACAUCUCCCUCUUGUGGGUCACCACAGUACACCAAUUGAUAAGUGCACGACGAGCACAGCAGCUCACCUUCCCGGCUCGGCAGAGGUCCGCUGCAAACUUGACUGCCUCUCUCACGCACAGAACGUCCAUCCCGUCCACCUGUAUCAGAAGCACUGAGCUGAAGUCACAGAAGGAAAACUGCUGACUGCAUCUUGGUGCCAAGGAACUACGUUGAGGUGAAUUGAGGAGCUUCAGUUAGUGUUACUUUGCCUCCAUCUUAUGGCAUCUUGGUGCAACAGAACAUUGUUAUAGUAAGUUGGAGCUUCAUUUAAACAAAGGUACAGUACUCUGUUUGCCACCAUCUAUGGAAAAUUAAUCAUUUUGUAAUGGGGGAAGUCUAUUUUAUUCAAUGUAUAUACAGUUCGUGACAUUUGUCUGGUGGCGUGCUGUGGAAUUGUUCUAAUGUAAAAUAUGUGCCUUGACGGAAUAAAGGUUGGGAAAGUUUUGCACU